rnacentral:tRNA from 1 species
UAUAAAGUACCUAUUACAAGGAUCUACAUUGAUGAAGUAGACAUGCAUUCUCAGCCUUUAUGA